GAUGAACGCUGGCGGCGUGCUUAACACAUGCAAGUCGAACGAGGUCCAACCUUCGGGUGAAGACCUAGUGGCGAACGGGUGAGUAACACGUGGGGAACCUGCCCAUCUCUCUGGGAUAACGUCGGGAAAUCGGCGCUAAUACCGGAUACUCCUUGCGGACCGCAUGGUCUGCUCGGGAAAGCUCCGGCGGAGAUGGAUGGCCCCGCGGCCCAUUAGCUUGUUGGUGGGGUAAUGGCCCACCAAGGCGACGAUGGGUAGCCGAGCUGAGAGGCUGAUCGGCCACACUGGGACUGAGACACGGCCCAGACUCCUACGGGAGGCAGCAGUGGGGAAUGUUGCGCAAUGGGCGAAAGCCCGACGCAGCAACGCCGCGUGCGGGAUGAAGGCCUUCGGGUUGUAAACCGCUUUCAGCAGGGACGAACGUGACGGUACCUGCAGAAGAAGCCCCGGCUAACUACGUGCCAGCCGCCGCGGUAAUAC
rnacentral:rRNA from 1 species